rnacentral:rRNA from 1 species
GACGAACGCUGGCGGCGUGCCUAAUACAUGCAAGUUGAACGCUGACGGAUGGUACUUGUGCCAACUGGAUGAGCGGCGAGCGGGUGAGUAACGCGUGGGGAAUCUGCUUUUGAGUCGGGGACAACAUCUGGAAACGACUGCUAAUAACACCUAAUACCUUUUAACACAGGAUUCAAGUUUGAAUGAUGCCAUUGCCGCACUCAUAGAUGGAUCCGCGUUGUAUUAGUUAGUUGGGGAGGUAAAGGCUCACCCAGGGGAUGAUACAUAGCCUGCCUGAGGAGGAUGACCGCCCCAUUGGGAACGAGAACCGGGCCAAACUUCUAAGGGAGGCAGCAGUAGGGGAACUUCGGAAAAGGUCGAAAGUCUGACCGAGCAACGCCGCGGGAGUGAAGAAAGGUCUCGGAUCGGAAAACUCUGUUUGUAGAGAAAAACGUUGGUGAGGGUGGAAAGCUCAUCAAGUGACGGUAACUACCCAGAAAGGGACGGCUAACUACGUG